rnacentral:rRNA from 1 species
AGAGAGAGACAUGCGCGCAUAUCAAUAAGCGGAGGAAAAGAAACUAACAAGGAUUCCCUUAGUAACGGCGAGUGAAGCGGGAAGAGCUCAAAUUUGAAAUCUUCAAGGUUCUACCUUGACGAAUUGUAGUUUAAAGAAGUGUUUUCUGUUGGAAUUUUGGUAAAAGUUCUUUGGAAAUAGGACAUCAAUAGAGGGUGAGAAUCCCGUAUUUGACCAUUAUUUUCAGCUUUGUGAUACACUUUCAAAGAGUCGGAUUGUUUGGGAAUGCAGUCCAAAAUGGGUGGUAAAUUUCAUCUAAAGCUAAAUAUUGGCGAGAGACCGAUAGCGAACAAGUACCGUGAGGGAAAGAUGAAAAGAACUUUGAAAAGAGAGUUAAACAGUACGUGAAAUUGUCAAAAGGGAAGCGUUUGACACCAGUGUUGUUUUCUCGAAAAUCAAUUAAAAACUGGCUCGAUUUUGUAUUGUUGAGACCUUAAAAGCUCACUGUACAUUUUUCGUGUCUUUUUUAAUGCACUUUUCGUUUAACAAGUCAACAUCAGUUUCUUUUGUUGUAAAAGGGUCAUUGGAAGGUGGCUUUCUUUUCGGAGAAAGUGUUUAUAGCCUUUGGCCUCUGCAAUCGAAGAGACUGAGGUCUGCAGCGUAGACUCUUCGGGGUUAGAUACAUUUGUGCUAAGUUAUAGCUUUUUAUAGACAACUUGUUGACUAUAAUUAGUCUUGUAGCUUACUCGCUUAUGCUAUUUUACCUACGCUUAGGAUGUUGAGUCGUAGAGCACGCAG